UUCUCUUCCCCUUAUCUCAUGUUGCAAGUUCUAAAUGCCUGGAUCAGCAGGAAGUGGCUCUUGCCUAGCUUAAAGUGUAUCUUUCUAAACAGAAGUGUUCUUUCUAAAGACAAAGAACAUGUUGUCUCCAAAGGAAGGAUGGCUAAGAGAAUUCUUUAUUCUGCAAGCAUAAACAGGAUGUAUUUUGUUCUUAUUGAAUUUUGUGUAUAUUUCACUUCACGGAUGUUGGCUUGAUACUUUAAGUACACAUUGUUAUGUUUAUCUGAUCACUGCGAGUAUAUAGCUAUGUGAGUAAUAAACAGCAGUAUGCAGUUGCAAGUGCUGCCUUUGCUCUGCAUCCCCUGUGUCCUGGUGAUUUUGUAGACCCUUACCCAGGGACCCCAACGCACUAGACGUUGACAAUUGGCGCCCGAACAGGGACCCUGAAGGACGUACAGGAAGGAGGAUGGACAGACCUGUUCCUGGCUCCCCGCGCGAUGGAUCCGGUCAAGGACCAAUUCGAACGGCACCGUAUCCCACCAGGCGACGGAUGGGGAAUCCAGACCAAGAUGAACUUCCAUUACAGGCCAUGGCACAUCUGAAUUUGGGAGGACGACGUCGCCGUCGGCAGAUAUUUGCUACAGCUUUGCCGACUUGGGGGCAAAUUAAAAAGCUUAGUGGGGAAGGGCAAAAAAUCCUGUAGCGAACAGGGAAGGCUUGUACGCCUGAAAAUUUAUUUUUGGCUAUGUGUGCCUUGCUUACUGUAUCAGAUGCCGCUACGUUGGCCAAUUUACUUCUUAAGCAACUUAAGGGACUAGAUCCAAAAGGUAUUAUUCAGAGUUUGGGGCAUACUGCCGGAGGAAUGGGACUUGUAUUGUUGAUUGUUAUCUUAUGCUUUAUGCUGUUGAAUUUUUGCUAUCUAAAGCCUUCCCAGAAUUCUAUGGCCAUCCUUUGGAGGGCACUUUUAUUAAAACAAAAGAAAAAAGAAGGAAUUGAGAUGGUGUAGGCUUGUAAGCCCCUUGCAGGCCAGGGUCAUUUGAGGACUGCACUGAGCUUAAGGACGGCCAGGCAGGCCUAGGCCAGGAGGAGAAAAUGUUCUCUUCCCCUUAUCUCAUGUUGCAAGUUCUAAAUGCCUGGAUCAGCAGGAAGUGGCUCUUGCCUAGCUUAAAGUGUAUCUUUCUAAACAGAAGUGUUCUUUCUAAAGACAAAGAACAUGUUGUCUCCAAAGGAAGGAUGGCUAAGAGAAUUCUUUAUUCUGCAAGCAUAAACAGGAUGUAUUUUGUUCUUAUUGAAUUUUGUGUAUAUUUCACUUCACGGAUGUUGGCUUGAUACUUUAAGUACACAUUGUUAUGUUUAUCUGAUCACUGCGAGUAUAUAGCUAUGUGAGUAAUAAACAGCAGUAUGCAGUUGCAAGUGCUGCCUUUGCUCUGCA